ACAUCGUUUCUCGUUCGAUCACCGAAGUUAAGCAACGUCAAGCCUGGUCAGUACUUAGAUGCGGAUCCGUUUGGGAACACCAGGCUCUGUAA